GGGUGGGUGGCUCAGUGGUUAGAGCCUAGGGCUCGUAACCGAAAGGUUCCCAGUUCGAACCCCCCAAGAG
rnacentral:tRNA from 1 species